GACGAACGCUGGCGGCGUGCUUAACACAUGCAAGUCGAGCGGUAAGGCCCUUUCGGGGGUACACGAGCGGCGAACGGGUGAGUAACACGUGGGUGACCUGCCCUCAGCUCUGGGAUAAGCCUGGGAAACCGGGGUCUAAUACUGGAUAUGACUCCAUGACGCAUGUUGGUGGGGUGGAAAGCCUUGUGCGGCUGAGGAUGGGCCCGCGGCCUAUCAGCUUGUUGGUGGGGUGANGGCCUACCAAGGCGACGACGGGUAGCCGGCCUGAGAGGGCGACCGGCCACACUGGGACUGAGACACGGCCCAGACUCCUACGGGAGGGCAGCAGGUGGGGAAUCUUGCGCAAUGGGCGAAAGCCUGACGCAGCGACGCCGCGUGA
rnacentral:rRNA from 1 species